rnacentral:lncRNA from 1 species
UGAGGACAGAGACGGUGGCCUGGCCGCCUCUUGAGUCUGGCGCCCAGCGUGGAGCAGGCACUCAGUGAAUGCUGGCAGAGGGGCGGCCAGCGCUUGCUGGCUCCAUGAGGCGAGCGUUGGCUGCAGGGGCCUGGGGUCAGGGCUGGGUGGGGCCCCGCCGAGGGGGCUUGGCUUCUGUUUGCUUCUCUUGGAGCCAUGGACACAGAGGCACUGGACCCUAUCGGCCGCGGUCAGAGUGCACAUUUGGAAUGUGCUUCUCAGGAAAAUACAUCCCAGUGGCCCCAGUUCCUUGCGGGCUGGGGGAAGAGAAAUGUGUGCUGGUCUCCUGAAAAUCUCUAGAAUUUCUUCAGAGAUUCCAGCCUACUUGUGUCCCCAGUCCUCGGGGGGGCCUGCCAGGUUCAGACGACUCUGACCAGCUUCUGCAGGAGUCCCCAGACGCCCCCUGCAACUGCAAAGAGGCUCUCGGGCUGGCUUCCACAGAAGGGGCGCCAGGCCUCCAGGGACGAGACUGGGACCUGGGGCACGGCCUGGGGUGCCCCCAGGGCUGUUGGCUCCAGGCUGCACCUGCUUCCUCCAGUUGGCCCAGUGUCUGGCCUGGGAACUGGCUGGCAUCAAGCCCCCUGCAGAGCAGCAGCCAUGGCUCCUCAGCCCCUGCAGGACGGAAGGGGCCCCAGGGCCAGGGUGAGCCAGCCGGCGCAUUCACCACGUCACGCCCAACCGCAGGACCCCCAGCCUGCUGUCCUCUCCUGGGACCCGGCUGCCUCCCUCCCCAGGUGCCUGCUGCACUCCACAUGGCACUUCCCACCCAGACUUGUUCCCUUGCUCUCUGUAAACACACCUCCCCUGCCAGACCCUGCCAGGCUGGGCUGUGUCCCUAGUGAGGAGGCAGAGGGGACCCAGACAUCACUCCUCUCAGGGCCGGCCUAGAGUGGGUGUGAGGCCAGGUGGGUCUGCAUUUGAGAGGGACCGGGGUAGAAUGGGGGGACGAAGUGGGGAACCACUUCCCCCAGGUGGAGGGCUUGGCCCUCAUCCGUCGAGGUGCUGUUUGCUGAGCACCUGUGGUGUUGCUGGUGAUGCUACAGGACAGGUGCUGUCCUAGGCGCUGGGGACUCCAGAUGGAGAGGACAGAGUCCCUCAUGGAGCUUGUGGCCUGAGGCAAAUGCAGAGCGGUGUGGCCAUGCGCCUUAUUUGGAAGGAGAGGUGCUGCGGCCGUAGUUAAGGUCAUGGAGCCCAGGAGACAAGGAUGGCUGGCAGCCCGCCGCCGCCGUGGAAGUUGGGAGAGGCGUGGCAGGACGCUUCCUCCCUGCCCGCAGAAGGAACCCGCCCCGCCAACAGACGCCCUGAUUCAGGCGUCAACUCAACACUCAACCUCUGGCCUCCGGAACAAACUGCCAGAGAACAAGUCUCUGUCGCCUGAAGCCGCAGCCUGUGUGCCUAGUCCCGCAGCCCCGCACACUGACACAGCACGCAGAUCCAUUCUGCCCCAGGAGGGCCGACCCGCGCCCCCCCCCCCGCGGGAAGGGCAGCUCCCGCCAGUGUGAACCACCCCCCGUCCGCCUCCCUUCCCU